rnacentral:lncRNA from 1 species
UGGCGGGUCACUCUAGCCAGAGCAGCCUUCCACAGUCCUCCAGGGUCAGAGCUACAGUUGAGGACCCUGUAGGUGGUAGAGGUGCCCGGGGCCGGGCUCUGGGGCUGGCAGAGGCAAUGUCAGCGCCUGCCACCUGCGAUGUGGCCAGGGAACUUGGGGCUGAGCAAGGGCACAGAGGGGAGAGUGUGGCAUGAGGGAGAGGCGGGACCCCGCAGAGGCUCCCACACCUUCCAAGGCAGCAGAGGAGAAGGGGAG